AUUGAACGCUGGCGGCAGGCUUAACACGUGCAAGUCGAGCGGGGUGAUGGUGCUUGCACUAUCACUUAGCGGCGGACGGGUGAGUAAUGCUUAGGAAUCUGCCUAUUAGUGGGGGACAACAUCUCGAAAGGGAUGCUAAUACCGUAUACGUCCUACGGGAGAAAGCAGGGGAUCACUUGUGACCUUGCGCUAAUAGAUGAGCCUAAGUCGGAUUAGCUAGUUGGUGGGGUAAAGGCCUACCAAGGCGACGAUCUGUAGCGGGUCUGAGAGGAUGAUCCGCCACACUGGGACUGAGACACGGCCCAGACUCCUACGGGAGGCAGCAGUGGGGAAUAUUGGACAAUGGGGGGAACCCUGAUCCAGCCAUGCCGCGUGUGUGAAGAAGGCCUUAUGGUUGUAAAGCACUUUAAGCGAGGAGGAGGCUCUUUUGGUUAAUACCCAAGAUGAGUGGACGUUACUCGCAGAAUAAGCACCGGCUAACUCUGUGCCAGCAGCCGCUGUAA
rnacentral:rRNA from 1 species